GAUUCACAGGCCAAGACGUUGCCUUAGCGCAGCACUCCCCAUGUUGACGUGGAAGGUGGUAAUGGCAGUGAGCAAAAAAGUGAUCCAUGCACAGAUAAAUUUGUGAACGCCGGAUGAAACAAAGUUAAAAUAGGACCCAGCGGAUGAAGUGGACUGAACCACUGAAAUCUGAAACAUUGAUGAUCACUACAGCAAAGGGAAGAGCUCGGUAAAUUGUGCAUAUCGUUCUUGGAUCUUCCACCCAAAGUAACACUUUCACCUACAUUUAUUGGCCACAAGACAGGAUUGUGCCAUGUUGCCCAGGCUGGUCUGGAACUCCUGGACUCAAGUGAUCCACCCACCUCGACCUCCUAAAGUGCUGGGAUUACAGGCGUGAACCACUGUGUCUGGCCUCCGGGUGGUUUUAAGUGGGGACUUUUAUUUCUCACACAGUCUUCUGUAUAUUCUAUAUUUUCUACAAGAAAUAUAUAUUGCUUUUCUAAUCAGGAA
rnacentral:lncRNA from 1 species